AUGCAUUGAUGGGCAGAGGAGACACCAUGAUCGUGAAGGUGGUUUUCCCAGGGUGAGGCUCAUCCAUUGCACUCCGGGUGUGCUGACCCCUGCGAUUUCCCCAAAUGCGGGAAACUCGACUGCAUAAUUUGUGGUAAAUACAUUUUAACAUGGUGUUUU